AACGAACGCUGGCGGCAUGCCUAACACAUGCAAGUCGAACGAGACCAUCGGGACUUGUGGCGCACGGGUGCGUCACGCGUGGGAACAUGCACUUAGGUUCGGAAUACCUCUCCGAAUGGGGUGCCAAUACCGGAUAAUGUCUACGGACCAAAGAUUUAUCGACUUUGUUUGGGCCAGCGUUGGAUUAGCUAGUUGGUAGGGUAAUAGACUACCAAGGCGUCGAUGCAUAGCUGGUUUGAGAGGAUGAUCAGCCACACUGGGACUAAGACACGGCCCAGACUCCUACGGGAGGCAGCAGUGGGGAAUAUUGGACCAUGGGCGGAAGCCUGAUCCAGCAAUGCCGCGUGAAUGAUGAAGGCCUUGGGGAUGUAAAGCUCUUUUACCCGGGAAGAUAAUGACAGUACCGGAUGAAUAAGCCCCGGCUAACUCCGUG
rnacentral:rRNA from 1 species